CGUGCAAAUCGAAUUUUGUUAAGAUUUUUACUUAGCUAAAUUUAAUGGGAGAAACAUCUUUAAUUUUAAAUGUAAAAGUAUGUGUUAAUGAAAUUAUGAAAGAGCUUAUAGUUAAAAGUACUGUGAAGGAUAGUUGAAAGAUUUUGGUUUUAUUAAAAAGAAGAUAUUAAAAAUCGUACCUUGUGUAUCAGGGUUAAGUAAAAUUAUAUUAAUAUAGGUAUUUCCCGAAAUUAAGCGAGUAAUGUUUUUAGUAAAUUAAAUGUGGUAAACUUUUUUUAAAUAAUAACAUGGGGUGAAAGGCCAUUCGAGCUUAUUUAUCUGGUUUCAUGAAAAAUGAAUUCAAUUCAGUUAGUUUUAGUUUAAAGUUUUAUUUUUAAUUAAGAAUUAAAAUUAAAAAAGUUUUAGAGGGAUGAGCUUCUAUAACCAUCAGUAUAAUAAAAAUAUUUAAUUUAGAAUGACUUUAGGUUUAAUAAUGACCUAAAAUAUAAAGUUUGUUAUAAUUUACAUUUUUAUUAAAAAUAUUUUUGUUUAUUUACUUUUUUAUCAUGAUAUUCAAAUCAACAAUAAAUUUUAAGUAAUAAUGCUUAAAUUAGUAGAGUAAUUGUGUUUUUUAAAUUAUUUAAAUAAUAUUAAAUUAUAUUAAAUUAAAGUUAUUUUAAAGGAACUCGGCAAAUAUAUUUUCCGCAUGUUUAUCAAAAACAUCUCCUCUUGACAUAUUAGAGGUACCGUCUGCUCAAUGCAAUUUGUAAAUAGCCGCAGUAUUCUGACUGUGCUAAGGUAGCAUAAUCAUUAGUCUUUUAAUUGAAGGCUGGUAUGAAUGACGAGACGAGAAAAUAGCUGUCUCUAAGAUAUAUCUUGAAUUUUAUUUCUAAGUGAAAAAGCUUAGAUAAUUUUAAAGGACGAUCAGACCCUAUGGAGCUUUAUUUAUUUUAAGUUUAAAUUUAUUUUAAAUUAUUGAAUGAAAAAUAAAUUUUGUUGGGGCGACAAAGAGUAAAAAAUAUCACUCUUUUUUAAAAACAAUUAUAUUUGGAGUAUUGAUCCUUAAAGUAAGAUUAAAAGACUAAGUUACCCUAGGGAUAACAGCGUAAUCUUUUUGGAGAGUUCAAAUCGAUAAAAAGGUUUGCGACCUCGAUGUUGGAUUAAGAGAUUAGCAAGGUGCAGAAGUUUUGCUGGAAAGUCUGUUCGACUUUUAAUCUCUUACAUGAUCUGAGUUCAAACCGGCGUAAGCCAGGUUGGUUUCUAUCCUUAAAAUUAAAUUAAUCUUUUUAGUACGAAAGGAUUAAAAGGUUAAGAUUAUUCUUAAAAUAAAGAAAAAAAAUAAAAUAUUAAUAUAACGGU
rnacentral:rRNA from 1 species